rnacentral:rRNA from 1 species
AGAGUUUGAUCAUGGCUCAGAACGAACGCUGGCGGCAGGCUUAACACAUGCAAGUCGAACGCGUGUAGCAAUACACGAGUGGCGCACGGGUGAGUAACGCGUGGAUAUCUGCCUUUUGGUUCGGAAUAACCCCGGGAAACUGGGGCUAAUACCGGAUGGUUCCUUCGGGAUAAAGAUUUACCGCCAAAAGAUGAGUCCGCGUCCGAUUAGCUAGUUGGUGAGGUAAUGGCUCACCAAGGCGACGAUCGGUAGCUGGUCUGAGAGGACGAUCAGCCACACUGGGACUGAGACACGGCCCAGACUCCUACGGGAGGCAGCAGUGGGGAAUAUUGGACAAUGGGGGCAACCCUGAUCCAGCCAUGCCGCGUGAGUGAUGAAGGCCUUCGGGUUGUAAAGCUCUUUUGGCGGGGACGAUGAUGACGGUACCCGCAGAAUAAGCCCCGGCUAACUUCGUGCCAGCAGCCGCGGUAAGACGAAGGGGGCUAGCGUUGUUCGGAAUUACUGGGCGUAAAGCGCGUGUAGGCGGUUAUCCAAGUCGGGUGUGAAAGCCUUGAGCUCAACUCAAGAAAUGCACUCGGUACUGGGUGACUAGAGGACCGGAGAGGAUAGUGGAAUUCCCAGUGUAGUGGUGAAAUACGUAGAGAUUGGGAAGAACACCAGUGGCGAAGGCGGCUAUCUGGACGGUUUCUGACGCUAAGACGCGAAAGCGUGAGGAGCAAACAGGAUUAGAUACCCCGGUAGUCC